CACGAUCACUUGUAUUCGACAAAAAAAAACGUGAAUUAAUGAGUGAAUAGAGGCCGCCGAAAAAGCGUUUUGACAUGUCACUUCCAAAGCAAACUGUGGGGGGCGCCAAAUCCUCACAUGAAUGCAUAACAAGUGUAAAAAGCCAAACAGUCUGCGUUAGCUUCGCUGACAUGACGUUAGCCUGAUGCUGAAUGUUUUCUCAUCCCAGCCUCAUCGCUCUCGGAGCUUGAGAGAGCCAACAUCUUGACACUUCUCCCCCAGUCCACCGAGCACCUUCGCCACUCACGGCAGCCGGGUCCCGCCGUGCCUCCCGACUGAUCAGGCGGGAUGAGAGAACUCUUUGGCUGACGUGACUGCGCGUCUCCGAGCGUAGCGGCUCCCACCUUGAAUCGUGAAAUGUGCUCCGUGAACACUUUCAAGACGUCAGCCGGGAGAACAUCUGCGGCCCGACUGCGUCGGACCUCGCUUCUGGGAAAACGCCGUGCGCUGCGGGAGGACGCCCGCCACAAGGAAUUGUUGCUGACCCCCGCGCAGUUCUGAGCAGGGCAAUUGUGCCGAGCGGGCGGCGGAGCAGAUCGGAGUCCUCGCAAGGUGGUUUAUCGGACUGGCGCCGCCUCCCCCUGGGGCCGGCGUGCGCUCCCAGCAGCCCGUGGUGUCCUGCGCCCCGCCCUCGCCGUCACUGCCCGCCAGAGUCCAUGUGCCGGGUGCGGUUCGUCCGCCAGGAGCCAUGUGCCUCCCGCACACCAACAGCAUGGACAGCAAGCUGCAGUGGGCGGGGCCGGGGGGCGGCACACCACUUCGAUCGCGAGGAGGAGGCGUUCCACUGGAGCCAUUUAUGCACCAGGUGGGCGGUCACACCAGCAUGAUGCGCUACGAUGACCACACGGUGUGCAAGCCACUGAUCAGCAGGGAGCAGCGCUUCUAUGAAUCUCUGCCUCCCGAGAUGAAGGAGUUCACCCCUGAGUACAAAGGUAGCCACUGAUUCAGGCUC